rnacentral:rRNA from 1 species
AUUGAACGCUGGCGGCAGGCCUAACACAUGCAAGUCGAGCGAGCGGCGGACGGGUGAGUAAUGUCUGGGAAACUGCCCGAUGGAGGGGGAUAACUACUGGAAACGGUAGCUAAUACCGCAUACCAUCAGAUGUGCCCAGAUGGGAUUAGCUAGUGGGUGGGGUAACGGCUCACCUAGGCGACGAUCCCUAGCUGGUCUGAGAGGAUGAUCAGCCACACUGGGACUGAGACACGGCCCAGACUCCUACGGGAGGCAGCAGUGGGGAAUAUUGCACAAUGGGCGCAAGCCUGAUGCAGCCAUGCCGCGUGUAUGAAGAAGGCCCUCGGGUUGUAAAGUACUUUCAGCCGGGAGGCGUUACCCGCAGAAGAAGCACCGGCUAACUCCGUGCCAGCAGCCGCGGUAAUUC